UAGAGUUUUGAUCCUGGCUCAGGACGAACGCUGGCGGCGUGCCUAAUACAUGCAAGUCGAGCGAGCUUGCCUAGAUGAAUUUGGUGCUUGCACCAAAUGAAACUAGAUACAAGCGAGCGGCGGACGGGUGAGUAACACGUGGGUAACCUGCCCAAGAGACUGGGAUAACACCUGGAAACAGAUGCUAAUACCGGAUAACAACACUAGACGCAUGUCUAGAGUUUAAAAGAUGGUUCUGCUAUCACUCUUGGAUGGACCUGCGGUGCAUUAGCUAGUUGGUAAGGUAACGGCUUACCAAGGCAAUGAUGCAUAGCCGAGUUGAGAGACUGAUCGGCCACAUUGGGACUGAGACACGGCCCAAACUCCUACGGGAGGCAGCAGUAGGGAAUCUUCCACAAUGGACGCAAGUCUGAUGGAGCAACGCCGCGUGAGUGAAGAAGGGUUUCGGCUCGUAAAGCUCUGUUGGUAGUGAAGAAAGAUAGAGGUAGUAA
rnacentral:rRNA from 1 species